UGGACAUUAAACGCAUCACUGGUCCACAGAAGCAGCAGCAGGAGAGGAGGACUGUUCAGGACCUUGUUCAGGACCCUGAAGUGCUCUCCGUUUGUUUACGCGCAGUCACGUGGUUAACGCGUCCUCCUCUGGACCGGUUGGAACCUGAACCGACAGAAACCUGCUCCAGGUCUGUCCCCGUCCUCCGGGCAGACAGAUACCCUUCAGCCUCCACACAGUAAGCACAGACCCUCUCAGCUCCAGACCCUCAGCCCCGGUAUGUCCUCUCUCUGUGUGCUGAGGACUCGCUGCUUCCUCCGGCAGGUCCUCCCCGGCCUCCCCGGCCUCCCCGCCGCCAUGCAGAGACUCUACAGCCUGGACCUGUCCGCCCCCCUGCUGCGGACCGAGAGCUACGUGGACGGCCGCUGGGUCCCUGCAGCCUCGGUGUUCCCCGUCCUGGACCCGGCCUCAGGGAGGGAGAUAGCCCGGGUGUCGGACUGCGGCCCGGCGGAAGCGAAGCAGGCUGUGGACGCUGCAUACAAAGCGUUCCAGUCCUGGAAGCGGACCACAGCUAAGGAGAGGAGCGUCCUGCUGAGGAAGUGGUUCGACCUGGUGACUCUGCACAAAGAGGACCUGGCCAAACUGAUCACGUUCGAGAGUGGUAAGCCCAUGCGGGAGUCUCUGGGGGAGAUCGGGUACGCGGCCUCCUUCCUGGAGUGGUUUUCUGAGGAGGCUCGGCGAGUUUACGGAGACAUCGUCCCGUCCCCCGCCAAAGACCGAAAGAUCCUCCUCCUCAAACAGCCUGUGGGCGUGGCCUCCAUCAUCACACCGUGGAACUUCCCCAGCGCGAUGAUCACCAGGAAGAUCGGCGCUGCUCUGGCGGUCGGCUGCACCGUGGUCGUGAAACCCGCCGAGGACACGCCUCUGUCAGCGCUCGCUCUGGCUGAGCUGGCGGAGCAGGCGGGGAUCCCUGCGGGGGUCUUCAACGUGGUCCCCUGUUCCCGGGAGAAGACGCCGUCAGUCGGGGAGGUUCUCUGCACCGACCCCCUGGUGGCAAAGAUCUCCUUCACCGGAUCCACCGCCACGGGCAAGGUGCUGCUCAGAAUGGCGGCUGACACUGUGAAGAAGGCGUCCAUGGAGCUGGGAGGCCACGCCCCCUUUAUCGUGUUCGACAGCGCUGAUGUGGACACGGCAGUGAACGGAGCCAUGGGGUCCAAAUUCAGGAACUCUGGACAGACGUGCGUGUGUUCAAACCGCUUCCUGGUGCAGAGCGGGAUCCAUGACCGCUUCAUGCAGAAGCUGGGCGAGGCGAUGGAUGCUGAGCUCCGUCUGGGUCACGGUUCUGAUCCUGACACCACGCAGGGUCCGCUCAUCAACGCCAGAGCAGCAGAGAAGGUUGCUCAUCAGGUAUCGGACGCCGUGUCCAGAGGGGCGAAGGUGUUGAAGGGCGGGAAGCGUCUGGAAGGUUCCUUCAUGGAGCCGACCCUGCUGGCCGACGUCACCACAGACAUGCUGUGUACCCGAGAGGAGACGUUCGGACCGCUGCUGCCCGUCAUCAGGUUAGUGACACGCUAUCAGAGCCAGAUCCACCAGAUCCCUGUCCGGUCUGUCUCAGCUCAGGAUCUGAUCCGUUUCUAUUCUAGUCAAUGUGUUAACUUCCACUGGAUCCGCUCCUUUAGAGAGUCCAGUCCGGCAGGUCUGAGUCCUCCGGAUCAGAUACUCAAGACUUCUAUUUGUGCCGGAUGCCGGAGCACGACGCAUCAAUCUCAACAGAGCAGAUGGAGCGGGACAGGAAGUCAGGCGGUUAAUUUUCAGAAUAAAAGACUUUGUGUUAUCACCAGAUCGUAUUUCACUACAACAACAAACCAAAGUCAUGAUGAGCGGAGCCAGGCCUGGAGUCAACAGGUCAGAGGUUUUCAGAGGACCAGAAAGACCACAUGGAUGAGGAGAGGAGGAGGAGGAGGAUCCUUGAUUCAGGGAUUACAGAAGGGGAAACCUGGGUCACAUGACUCCAGCUGUCCGGAGGUCCUGCUCCGCACCGGAUCAGAGAUGGACUGGAUCAGAGACGGACCGGAUCAGAGACAGACCGGAUCAGAGUAGGACUGGAUCAGAGACGGACCGGAUCAGAGACGGACCAGAUCAGAGACGGACCGGAUCAGAGACGGACCGGAUCAGAGACGGACCGGAUCAGAGACGGACCGGAUCAGAGAUGGACCGGAUCAGAGACGGACCGGAUCAGAGAUGGACCGGAUCAGAGACAGACUGGAUCAGAGACGGACCGGAUCAGAGAUGGACUGGAUCAGAGACGGACCGGAUCAGAGACGGACCGGAUCAGAGACGGACCGGAUCAGAGAUUAAUCAGAAAUGAACUGCACAUUUUUCAAUCUGCUGUAAAUGUAACUUAAAGGGGUAUUUUCAAAGUUUCUAAUACUCAACAUGGACUAAGUGUGCCGUCUCUAUGUGGAUGUUUCUUUCGGUUUCAUCUGCUCGUGUCUGAGGUCUGAUAUUUCUGAUGUUCAGGUUCAACACUGAGGACGAGGCUCUGGCUAUCGCUAACGCGUCUAACGUUGGGCUGGCAGGUUACAUGUUCUCACAGGAUGUGAGUCAGAUCUGGCGAGUGGCGGAGGCGUUGGAGGUCGGGAUAGUGGGAGUCAACGAGGGUCUGCUGUCCACCCCGGAGGCCACGUUCGGCGGGGUCAAACAGUCCGGUCUGGGCCGUGAGGGCUCAAAGUACGGCGUCGAUGAGUACCUGGAUGUGAAGUACAUGUGCUUUGGCGGUCUGAAGCCCUGAAGGGUCUGAAGCCCUGAAAGGCCUGAAGCCCUGAAGGGUCUGAGGCCCUGAAGGGUCUGAGGCCCUGAAGGGUCUGAGGCCCUGAAGGGUCUGAGGCUCUGAAGGGUCUCUGGUAAACAUGACGUAAUCGUUAAAGGAGCUCCGGCUUCGUUUAGAAAUCAAAACUAAAGUAUCAACGUAGAAAAAGAGUCAAUUCACUGUUUUACAAUCUGCUGAAUAUUUUUAUGCCCGUGUGACAUUUCUCUGACUCAGCCAGGAGGGGGCAGCACUGAUAAAACAGGGUCCUCUUUAUGUCCCUCUGUCGGCUCUUCAUCAUCAAACAUUAACAUGAAGUGUAGACACGGACGUUACUCAGCCGCUCAGACUCUCAAUGACAGGCGUUUAUUUUUAUAGAAGCUGUAAACCUUCAGAGAAGAAUCCAGACGGACUCACAGAACCAGAAAGUCAAACCCUGACACGCCUUUAACACUCCUGAGCUGUGAUUGGCUGAUUGCUGGACACGCCAACAUUCUAGAAUGUUUUUGUUUUGAUGAACAUUCCAGAACGUUGCUGCAGCAGAACAUGGAACAUUAACAACCACAAACUCAUAGCCAAUCAGAACGCAGCAUUCUCAGUGAAGCUUUAAUGAUCCUCCCUUCAGUCGACUCUCAGAGAGGACGUCCGUCUCAGUUCACGUCUGAGUCUCUCGUUUCCUGUGAUUGAACAUUAUUUCAUUUAUUAUUGGAGUCAGUAAAACAGCUUCCAGUGCAACAACGUUUUCCUUUGCUAA